rnacentral:rRNA from 1 species
GAUGAACGCUGGCGGCGUGCUUAACACAUGCAAGUCGAACGGAAAGGCCCAAGCUUGCUUGGGUGCUCGAGUGGCGAACGGGUGAGUAACACGUGGGUGAUCUGCCCUGCACUUCGGGAUAAGCCUGGGAAACUGGGUCUAAUACCGGAUAGGACGAUGGUUUGGAUGCCAUUGUGGAAAGUUUUUUCGGUGUGGGAUGAGCUCGCGGCCUAUCAGCUUGUUGGUGGGGUAAUGGCCUACCAAGGCGUCGACGGGUAGCCGGCCUGAGAGGGUGUACGGCCACAUUGGGACUGAGAUACGGGCCAGACUCCUACGGGAGGCAGCAGUGGGGAAUAUUGCACAAUGGGCGCAGGCCUGAUGCAGCGACGCCGCGUGGGGGAUGACGGCCUUCGGGUUGUAAACUCCUUUCGCUAGGGACGAAGCGUUUUUGUGACGGUACCUGGAGAAGAAGCACCGGCUAACUACGUG